GCGGCAGGCUUAACACAUGCAAGUCGAACGCCCCGCAAGGGGAGUGGCAGACGGGUGAGUAACGCGUGGGAAUCUACCUAGUUUCUACGGAACAACAGUUGGAAACGACUGCUAAUACCGUAUACGCCCUACGGGGGAAAGAUUUAUCGGAAUUAGAUGAGCCCGCGUAAGAUUAGCUAGUUGGUGGGGUAAUGGCCUACCAAGGCGACGAUCUUUAGCUGGUCUGAGAGGAUGAUCAGCCACACUGGGACUGAGACACGGCCCAGACUCCUACGGGAGGCAGCAGUGGGGAAUAUUGGACAAUGGGCGCAAGCCUGAUCCAGCCAUGCCGCGUGAGUGAUGAAGGCCUUAGGGUUGUAAAGCUCUUUCAGUAGGGAAGAUAAUGACGGUACCUACAGAAGAAGCCCCG
rnacentral:rRNA from 1 species